CCUAACAGGAAAAACGUCCAAUUCUCACAAAGAUAAAACACCAAAGCCUUCAUUAGAUGCUUCAAAAGUUGCUGCACUGUUUUAUGUGGUUGUAAAAAAAUUUCGAUUACCUGACAAAAAAAUGGUGAAAGGAUUCAUAAAGGCAAAGCUAAACAACAGC